AGACCCGAAACCCGGUGAUCUAGCCAUGGGCAGGUUGAAGGUUGGGUAACACUAACUGGAGGACCGAACCGACUAAUGUUGAAAAAUUAGCGGAUGACCUGUGGCUGGGGGUGAAAGGCCAAUCAAACCGGGAGAUAGCUGGUUCUCCCCGAAAGCUAUUUAGGUAGCGCCUCGUGAAUUCAUCUCCGGGGGUAGAGCACUGUUUCGGCUAGGGGGCCAUCCCGGCUUACCAACCCGAUGCAAACUGCGAAUACCGGAGAAUGUUAUCACGGGAGACACACGGCGGGUGCUAACGUCCGUCGUGAAGAGGGAAACAACCCAGACCGCCAGCUAAGGUCCCAAAGUCAUGGUUAAGUGGGAAACGAUGUGGGAAGGCCCAGACAGCCAGGAUGUUGGCUUAGAAGCAGCCAUCAUUUAAAGAAAGCGUAAUAGCUCACUGGUCGAGUCGGCCUGCGCGGAAGAUGUAACGGGGCUAAACCAUGCACCGAAGCUGCGGCAGCGACGCUGAUGCGUUGUUGGGUAGGGGAGCGUUCUGUAAGCCUGUGAAGGUGUGUCGUGAGGCAUGCUGGAGGUAUCAGAAGUGCGAAUGCUGACAUAAGUAACGAUAAAGCGGGUGAAAAGCCCGCUCGCCGGAAGACCAAGGGUUCCUGUCCAACGUUAAUCGGGGCAGGGUGAGUCGACCCCUAAGGCGAGGCCGAAAGGCGUAGUCGAUGGGAAACGGGUUAAUAUUCCCGUACUUGGUGUUACUGCGAAGGGGGGACGGAGAAGGCUAUGUUGGCCGGGCGACGGUUGUCCCGGUUUAAGCGUGUAGGCUGGUUUUCCAGGCAAAUCCGGAAAAUCAAG
rnacentral:rRNA from 1 species